UACGUAGGGUGCAAGCGUUGUCCGGAAUUAUUGGGCGUAAAGAGCUCGUAGGCGGUUUGUCGCGUCGGCUGUGAAAACCCGAGGCUCAACCUCGGGCCUGCAGUCGAUACGGGCAAACUAGAGUGUGGUAGGGGAGACUGGAAUUCCUGGUGUAGCGGUGAAAUGCGCAGAUAUCAGGAGGAACACCGGCGGCGAAGGCGGCAUCCUGGACCGAUACUGACGCUGAGGAGCGAAAGCCAGGGGAGCAAACGGG
rnacentral:rRNA from 1 species